rnacentral:tRNA from 1 species
GAGCCCGUUGGUCGACUCGACCAUGGCGUUCCACGCGCCGGGGGCCUGGCUCGGCGCCAGGCGGGCGUC